AGAGUUUGAUCCUGGCUCAGAUUGAACGCUGGCGGUAUGCUUAACACAUGCAAGUCGAACGGUAACGACAGAACAAACCUUCGGGGGCGUUUUGGUCGACGAGUGGCGAACGGGUGAGUAACGCAUGAGAAUUUGCCGUAUAGUGGGGAAUAACCUGGGGAAACCUAGGCUAAUACCGCAUAUCUUCUACGGAAGAAAGGGGGCCUCUCCUAGAUGCUCUCGCUAUACGAGAAGCUCAUGUCCGAUUAGCUUGUUGGUGAGGUAAUGGCUCACCAAGGCUUUGACCGGUAGCUGGUCUGAGAGGACGAUCAGCCACACUGGGACUGAGAUACGGCCCAGACUCCUACGGGAGGCAGCAGUGGGGAAUAUUGGACAAUGGGGGAAACCCUGAUCCAGCAAUACCGCGUGUGUGAAGAAGGCCUGCGGGUUGUAAAGCACUUUCGUCAGAGAAGAAAUGCGCUUGCCUAAUAAGCAAACGCUAUGACGUUAUCUGAAUAAGAAGCACCGGCUAAUUCCGUGCCAGCAGCCGCGGUAAUAUGGAAGGUGCGAGCGUUAAUCGGAAUUACUGGGCGUAAAGCGCACGUAGGCGGUUUGAUAUGUCGGAUGUGAAAUCCUUGGGCUCAACCUGAGAACUGCAUUCGAAACUGUCAGACUAGAGUGAGUCAGAGAAAGCGGAAUUUCGGGUGUAGCGGUGGAAUGC
rnacentral:rRNA from 1 species